rnacentral:rRNA from 1 species
UACGUAGGGAGCAAGCGUUGUCCGGAAUUAUUGGGCGUAAAGAGCUUGUAGGCGGUUUGUCGCGUCUGCCGUGAAAAUCCGGGGCUCAACCCCGGGCUUGCGGUGGGUACGGGCAGACUAGAGUGUGGUAGGGGGAGAUCGGAAUUCCUGGUGUAGCGGUGAAAUGCGCAGAUAUCAGGAGGAACACCGGUGGCGAAGGCGGGAUCUCUGGGCCAUUACUGACGCUGAGGAGCGAAAGCGUGGGGGAGCGAACAGG